AACGAACGCUGGCGGCGUGCCUAACACAUGCAAGUCGAGCGCGAAAGUCUUCGGACGAGUAGAGCGGCGCACGGGUGAGUAACACGUGGGUAAUCUCCCUUUAGGUUCGGGAUAACCCGGGGAAACUCGGGCUAAUACCGGAUAAGACCACGGUACGAGAGUACUGUGGGAAAAGUAGAGGCCUUCUUCGGAAGCUUUACACCUUUAGAUGAGCCCGCGGCCCGUCAGGUAGUUGGGGGGGUAAUGGCCCACCAAGCUUAAGACGGGUAGCGGGUCUGAGAGGAUACUAAGCCACACUGGAACGGAAACACGGUCCAGACCCCUACGGGAGGCAGCAGUGGGGAAUCUUGCGCAAUGGGCAAAAGCCUGACGCAGCAACGCCGCGUGAGUGAUGAAGGUCUUCGGAUCGUAAAGCUCUGUCGGCAGGAACGACGGUCAACGUGGCUAAUAUCCACGGGGGCUGACGGUACCUGCAAAGGAAGCACCGGCUAACUCUGUGCCAGCAGCCGCGGUAA
rnacentral:rRNA from 1 species